AGAGUUUGAUCAUGGCUCAGAUUGAACGCUGGCGGCAUGCCUAACACAUGCAAGUCGAACGGCAGCAUGAUGUGUAGAAAUACAUAUUGAUGGCGAGUGGCGGACGGGUGAGUAAAGCAUAGAGAUCUGCCUUAUAGAGGAGGAUAACUUGGGGAAACCCGAGCUAAUACUGCGUAAGUUCUAAGGAAGAAAGGCUGGGACCGUAAGCCAGUCGCUAUAAGAUGAGACUAUGUCGGAUUAGUUAGUUGGUGAGGUAAAGGCUUACCAAGGCGAGGAUCCGUAGCUGUUCUGAGAGGAUGAUCAGCCACACUGGGACUGAGACACGGCCCAGACUCCUACGGGAGGCAGCAGUGGGGAAUAUUGGACAAUGGGGGCAACCCUGAUCCAGCGAUGCCGCGUGUGAGAAGAAGGCCUGCGGGUUGUAAAUCACUUUAGUUGGGGAAGAGGAGUUGGAAGGUUAAGAGCUAUCCAAAGAGACGUUACCCAAAGAAUAAGCACCGGCUAACUCUGUGCCAGCAGCCGCGGUAAUACAGAGGGUGCGAGCGUUAAUCGGAAUUACUGGGCGUAAAGGGCGCGUAGGCGGUGAUGCAAGUUAGAUGUGAAAUCCCCGAGCUUAACUUGGGAACUGCAUGUAAGACUGCAUAACUAGAGUAGAAGAGAGGAGAGUGGAAUUUCCGGUGUAGCGGUGAAAUGCGUAGAUAUCGGAAAGAACACCAGUGGCGAAGGCGACUUUCUGGAUUCAUACUGACGCUGAGGCGCGAAAGCAUGGGGAGCAAACAGGAUUAGAUACCCCGGUAGUCC
rnacentral:rRNA from 1 species